GUCCCCGUGGCACAGCUGGAUAGCGCGGCUCCCUCCUAAGGAGCAGGUCGCCCGUUCGAAUCGGGCCGGGGACGCCA
rnacentral:tRNA from 1 species